ACGUUUAUGCGAUGCGUUACGGCGAGGUACCCACGGCACGGACGUUAUAAAGGGCCGGACAGGCGAAAUUUCGUCCCGGCGCCGCCGGUGAGCCGGUGGAGCGGGGUAGGGGAGGUUCAUUAUUAUUAUUGUUGUUAUUUCCGUAUUCUGACUCCAUCGCCGGCGAAACACUAGAUCCGGGGGCUCGGGUCCUUUCGAACGGUUUAAACGUUGACAUCGCCGUGUUUAGCAUAGAUACCGCU